GACGUAGGGGGCCAGCGUUGUUCGGAAUUACUGGGUGUAAAGGGUUCGUAGGCGGUGCGGCAAGUUGGGCGUGAAAUCUCUGGGCUUAACCCAGAGGCUGCUUCCAAAACUGCUGUGCUUGAGUGUGGGAGAGGCGCGUGGAAUUGCAGGUGUAGCGGUGAAAUGCGUAGAUAUCGUAAGGAAGACCAGUGGCGAAGGCGGGUCUCUGGACAGUUCCUGACGCUGAGGCACGAAGGCCAGGGGAGCAAACGGG
rnacentral:rRNA from 1 species